UACGGGGGGGGUAAGCGUUGUUCGGAAUUACUGGGCGUAAAGGGCUCGUAGGCGGCCAACUAAGUCGGACGUGAAAUCCCUCAGCUUAACUGGGGAACUGCGUCCGAUACUGGAUGGCUUGGAUCUGGGAGAGGGAUGCGGAAUUCCAGGUGUAGCGGUGAAAUGCGUAGAUAUCUGGAGGAACACCGGUGGCGAAGGCGGCAUCCUGGACCAAUAUUGACGCUGAGGAGCGAAAGCCAGGGGAGCAAACGGG
rnacentral:rRNA from 1 species